ensembl:lncRNA
CUCGCCCUGGCAGCGAUCUGGACUCUCUGUACCCACUGCAACCAAGAGAUAGCCUGGGUGCUGUGUCCCAGCCUUUCCUGGGAGGGGAAGGGGAAGAUGUGAGAGGGUCAGAACACUGUGUCUUAAUGUUGCUUCCUUUGAUGGCCAUCUCCAGUUGUAGCCUAAACCAGUAUCCUGUCAUUCUUCACAACUGCAAUUUUCCCUCCCUUAAAUUAUUUAUUUAUUCUCUGGUAGGUAAUUCCAACCACUAACCUGGUGUCUCAGAUGGUAAAUAAUCUGCCUGCAGUGCAGGAGACCUGGGUUCAAUCCCUGGGUCAGGAAGAUUCCCCUGGAGAAGAGAAUGGCUACCCACUCCAGUAUCCUCUCCUGGAGAAUCCCAUGGACAGAGGAGCCUGCUUCCAUGAUCACAGAAGGUGGAGGCAGAGGUGGAAGAAGUCAUUAGAAAAGGCUGUCUCAAGCUGUUAAGAGAAGGAAGCUAUGUUUCUUUCCACACCAACUCACUGAAGUCUGAGCUUACUUACCAUCAAGUGAAAAUGGAAUUUAAUUGGUGGCUGCUGAGAAAGUUCAACAAAAACUCACCAGUAUGAUUUCCUGAGCUAUGGAUACUUUCUGAGUUAAGCCUGACAGGAUGUUAGUAAAUGUGAACCAAUUUUCAGUAAACAUUCUGUUAUUCUAAAAUUUUGGGUAAGGAAAUUCUUAAUUUAUGUUGUUUCCUCCACCUGUUUUGGAAAACAUCACUCAGGGACAAUACAGAUCAUUGUACCAUAGACCCAAGGAAGGGAAGUAGAAUAUUCAAAUGUUAUAAUAGAGGAAAAACAGGUCAAACACAAUAAUGUUUGUAACAAUGAUGCAUAUUUUGUUUUCUGCAAGUUGGGUAUAGAUUAGGAAAUGUAAUUAGGUAGACUAUUACUUUCCUAUUCAUGCUGCCUCCUGAUUGAAAAAGGCAACAAUUUGAAUUCUUUCAUGUUUUUCCCAUCUUGUUUUGGAAGAGCCUGGAAGUCAGAGCCCAGCUAUGAGCUCAUAAAGACAGCAUUCUAUCUGUAUUCCCUUCUAAGGGAAAAGUCAGGACUGACAGCUUAUUAGAUGCACACUUGGUUACAUAUCAACCCACAGAGCCCUUGCAUGGUGUUCUCUAGUGUCAGGGCCAGUUGGGGACCGCUGACUAGGCAAUGGGCAGGAAUGGAUGCUUCAGGGAUUCACCAGUCAAAUGGAUUGGUGGCAAAACAGGCAAAGGGCCAGGAAACGAAAUCCCAACUAAUACUGGGCCCUCUGCAUGCCAUCCUUGUCAUUGCUUUACUCAUCACACCCUUGGUUUUCAGCCACAAGGAACUUCUUUCACUUACUGAAACAGAGAUGUAUCUGGAGGGGGUGGGAUGGGAGGCAGGGGAACACCUGUGGUCCUGAGCACCUCUCCAAAAGCAGUGCCUGUUCAGACCAUGGUGAGGACGAGAAAGUUGAAGAGUGGCCCAUAACCCCGCGAGUAGACUCUGACUGCACCUCUGAUAUGAAGGGGCCGUUUGUUUAUGCACACUCCCUCUUCCCAGUGUGUCCAGUGCUGUGGCUUUCCCUUGCUCCUCCCUUUUAUCUUGAAUAAGUCUUACACUCUAGGCCUCUGCUUGGACAUCACUUCCAGUUGGAAGCCUUCCCCUAUCUCCUCCUACCUAGUCUGGGUCCUUUUCUAUGUAUCCGUUGCCCGACUUACAGUUCAGCAUUCAUCACAGGGUGUGUGCCAGCCUGUUGAUUGGGUCACUCACUAAAUCAUAUGCUCUCUAAGGAAAAAAGUUCAAUCUCUAGUAUCCCAGUGUCCGACAUCCCUACUGGAUCAUAAUAGGCAUGUGGUAAACAUUUGUUAGAUGGAUGAGUGAAUGAAUGAAUGAUUGAUGAAUGAAGAGCAACAGUGUAUACAUCAUCUCAGGUGGAUUUGAAAUACAGCUUUUUCUAUUUAAAAUCACAUCUGUUGUAAACAAAACAUCAGAGCUGCAAUGGCAGGGGAAAAUUACAUGAGUUUCAUUUUGGUCUACUCAUUGAUGAGAAGAUCUUAAAAUGAGACUUUAACAGAUUGAUCUCAGCUGACUUAUUAAAAAUAUCUAUGUAAUGACUUAGCUGUUAUUUAUAGAAUGUACAUGCACGAUGGUAUAAGUUAAUAUGUAUGCAGUUCCAGGUUUUUACAAACAAGUCUUUAUAGCAAUGAGUAUAAAUUUUGUAUUUUUUUAAUUUUCAUUUUUACUUUAUUUUACUUUACAGUACUGUAUUGGUUUUGCCAUACAUUGACAUGAAUCCACACGGGUGUACAUGCAUUCCCAAACAUGAACCCCCCUCCCACCUCCCUCCCCACAACAUCUCUCUGGGUCAUCGCCAUGCACCAGCCCCAAGCAUGCUGUAUCCUGCGUCGGACAUAGCAAUGAGUAUAAAUUUUGAAACUGAGAACAAUAGUUCUUUUAAAAUCUGAAUUAGAGUACCGAGAAAGUUGUCUGAAGAUGGCAUGGUAUCUAUUUUGUUGAUUGUGUGUGAGGAGGUAAGAAGACACGUUCUAGAAGUCUUGUCACUUGAGACCAGACAGGAAAAAUUUCUGCUGGGGGCCAAGUUAGGACUUAAAUAUGAUGAAGGAAACAAAUAUCAGUAAAGCUCAGAGAGGAUAAUGGUAAUGGAUUUGGGCUUCUCUGGUAGAUCCCUUGAAUGGGACAAAGGUUUCUAUUUUAAUAGUUUGUCAUAUACAUGGAAAUUUCAGGAAAUGACAUAUUCCAUUAUGAUCUCAGUACUUCUAUUGGGAUGAAUCUUCUGUGUUGUGUUAAUGUCACUUGUUGUUGCUGUUUGCUCACUUAAGUCAUGUCCAGCCCUUUGUGACCCAUGGACUGCAGCAUGCUAGGCUCCCCUGUCCUUCACUAUCUCCUGAAGUUUGUUCAAAUACACUCUUAUGUUUAUUCCUACUGGGCAUAAUUAAUUUGGUUGAGCCCCUUUUAUCUCUUACCUAGAACACUGGAUAACCUUCUCAUUGGCUCUUGUUUGAUUCUAGUCUCUUCAUUCUUCAGGAAAUUUGCUUCAACCAUUGAGGUGAUCAUCUAAAGCAGGUGCUGGCAACUCUCCCUGUAAAGGGCUAGACAAUAAAUGUGAUCUCUGUUGUAACUAUUCAAACAGACUGGGGUAAUGUGAAAGCAGCUACCAGUUCAGUUCAGUUCAGUUCAGUCGCUCAGCAGCUAUAGACAAUACAUAAAUGAAUGAACAUGGCUAUGUUCCUAGAUGAUGUUUAUAUGGGUGUUAAAUUUUAUGCAAUGUCCAAGUAUCACAAAAUAUUCUUAUUUUGAUUUUUUCAGUCAUUUAAAAAUAUAAAUAACAUCUUGCUCAUGGGUCAUACAGAAACAUAAAAUGGGAUGACAUUGGCUUGCAGGCCAACAUUCACUGACUCCUUUUUUUCCCCCUCUUUUAAAACUUUUAUUGAUUUUAUUUAUUUAUUUUUGGCUGCACAGGGUCUCCCUUGUGGCCCAUGGGCUUUCUCUAGUAGCAGCACAGGCUUUGUUGCCCUGCGACAUGUACGAUCUUGGUUCCCUAACCAGGGAUCAAACCCACUUCCCCUGAAGGUGGAUUCUUAACCACUGGACCAUCAGGGAAGUCCCUGACUCUUUUCUAAAGCAUAAAUUUAAUUGUAACAUCUGCAUUUUCCAUUCUGAAGUCCUCUGGUUAUAGUUAGGUUAUUGAUUCCCCUGGCUGUGACAGGUGGCCUCUCUAUACUGGCUUAAACUGGAUUAAAGUUGAUGUUUAUUUUCAUGUAAGAGUCUAAGGGUGAUUAUUCCAGAGCAUGUGUGGAAGCUGCAGGGAGCUGGGGACACAGGCAUCCUCAAUCUAGUUGCCCUCUACCCUCAGGGAGCUGCUCUCAGCAGCAAGGUCCAGGAUGGCUCACCACCACUGUGUUUACACUCUCAGUUUGCAAACACCUGGAAGAGAGAGGAGGAUUGGCCUAGCUUGAAUCUAAGACCACCUUGUAGGUAGCAUAUGGCGGAAUAUAGACAUUGAUAGUUAGCAGGCAGCAGGGAGGAUGUGAGAGGCAAUUCCCCAAAGAAAGGGAUACAUUGCCUCACUAUAUAAAAAAAGGAUGACUAUCACAGAGGUUUCCAGUAGCCAUACAUGUUUCUACUUCACUACUGCUCCUUGGCGAUGCUGGUGUCACUCUGCUAUAGAGGUAGUAUAUUAGCCUUGAAACUGCUCUGUGGUCAUGAGCUGGAUGCCGGGAGGCAGCAGUGUCUGUCAGAAAUCUUAGCUCACAGUGUUGACAGCCUCUGUCCCGGUGAGUCUUGCCAGGAGUAGAAGGGAAGGAGAAAAUUCGCAGAAAAAUCCCCGAUGACAUUCCAAGGAAAGAAGAGAAAAACAGCAAGAAAUGCAGAAUUUUUAAAAGAGUAGUUCUUCCUGUAUCUAAUCCUGAAUCACUGAUUCACCUUUUCAAUCAGUUAAUGGCUCCCACCAAGGGAAUGGAGACUUUGAAUGACUUUGUUAUUGCUACUUUUGUUGUUAUGGAUGUUCUUUUUACGUAAACCUAAAGCAGAGGGGUUUGCUGUAAAAUUUGUAUUUACCCACGAUACAAAAGAAAAAACUAUCAUCUCAUCAAAACUGCAGAAAAUCUAUAUCAUUAAAUACCUUGAGCAUUAAAGUGGUAUCAGGGUUGGGACUGAGAGAGGCCAUAAGUGGGAAACUGAAAUUAGAAAGAUGCAGAAGAGGAAAUUUUUUUGACAGAAAUGUCCCUAGAAUUCCUUGAAAAAUGACAGAAGACUGGAUGUAGGGCUUUGGAGGGGACAGAUUAUCUGGAGGGAGAAUGUGAGCAGAUUUGUAGAGAGUUGUACCAGGUGCCACUGAUUUAGCCCAGUGAAUUAGAGAACAGUUGAAUACUCUGAAAAAUGACACACAAUGUCAUCCAGUUACAUCAUGGAAUUUAAUACAUGAAAUUUUACGCUCCUAAAUUAUGAGAAGGGAGGAAGAAAGGUUCUAAGAUGGGCCUCCAGGAAUGACUUCUGGAAGAGCUCAUAAUUUACUUGGAGUUACCACCUGUGACACUAUAAAUGGUGCUAUAAGUUCAAGGACACAGCCCAUAAUUUUGAUCCCAAGGAUCAGUCAUCUUUACUAAAGCACCUCUGUAGUGAAGCUGCUGCUGUGGACCACUUCCUCUCAUCACCCAGGAAUCUAUGGAAUGGACCUAUAGCUAAGAUCCAGAGAUCUCAAAGCCAGAAGAAGCUGACCCAAUCAUUUCUUAACACCCAGACAGCUCUUGAACAGACCCUGAAUCAUUGCUGCAGAAAGCAAUUCCCAUUUCCAUGCACUGCUUGGAAGCACAAAGAACCCAAAAGGAACAGACUGAUUCUUUCAUCUUUCUUUGUCUCACAUAUUUCAUGCAGGUGCAUUGAAGAAUUUAAUCUGUGAGACUUCCCUGAUGGCACAGUGGUUAAGAAUCUGCCUUCCAAUGCAGGGGACUUGGGUUCAAUCCCUGGUCAGGGAACUAAGCUCCUACCUGCACAACCGGAGCCCAAGUCUGUGUGCCACAAAGCAGAGAAGGAGCCGUGUGCCCGAGGAAAACUUCUACGUGCUGAGACCUGACACAGCCACACAGAAGUAAAUAUUUUUUUAAAAAAGAAUCAUAUUUGCAACGAGAAUUUUAGAUUCACGUUAAGAAUUUUACAUUCAAGGAAGCCUAGAUAUUUAUUUUUAGGCUUUCCAGCCUGUCUAAUUAGAAGAUAAAAUGGAACUUGAGAAGCUAACCUUCGAUACCUGGGUCUUCUCAGGUGGCUCCGGGUAAAGGAUCUGUCUGUCAAGCAGGAGACAUGGGUUUGGGCCUUGGGUCAGGAAGAUCCCCUAGAGAAGGAAGUGGCAACCCACUCCAGUAUUCUUGCCUGGGAAAUCACAUGGACGAGGAGCCUGGUGGGCUACAGUUCAUGGAGUCUCAAAAGAAUCAGACACAACUUAGCGACUAAAAACAACAGCCUUCCAUAUCCAGCAUAUAUGUGUGGCAUUUGUUCAUAUGUGUGUUUAUGUAUGUGCAUUAUUUGUGUCAUAUAUGUAUAUAUUUACACAUGUAAAGCAUAAUCAUGCCUUAUGUAUUUGUGUCUAGUACUCAGUUAACUUGUAACUGAAAUGAUAAGGUAGGCUUAAAGCUCUUAAGAAAAUCACACCUAUAGGAAGGAAAUAUAUAUUUGUAGUUAGCUUUACUUGUAUUUGAAGAGGAUACAGAGAAAUGAG